ACGGAGGGGGCUAGCGUUGUUCGGAAUUACUGGGCGUAAAGCGCACGUAGGCGGCUUUGCAAGUUAGAGGUGAAAGCCCGGGGCUCAACUCCGGAACUGCCUUUAAGACUGCAUCGCUAGAAUUGCGGAGAGGUGAGUGGAAUUCCGAGUGUAGAGGUGAAAUUCGUAGAUAUUCGGAAGAACACCAGUGGCGAAGGCGACUCACUGGCCCGAUACUGACGCUGAGGUGCGAAAGCGUGGGGAGCAAACAGGA
rnacentral:rRNA from 1 species